UACGUAGGGUGCGAGCGUUAAUCGGAAUUACUGGGCGUAAAGCGUGCGCAGGCGGCUUUGCAAGACAGAUGUGAAAUCCCCGGGCUCAACCUGGGAAUUGCGCUUGUGACUGCAAAGCUGGAGUGCGGCAGAGGGGGAUGGAAUUCCGCGUGUAGCAGUGAAAUGCGUAGAUAUUCGGAGGAACACCAGUGGCGAAGGCAAUCCCCUGGGCCUGUACUGACGCUCAUGCACGAAAGCGUGGGGAGCAAACAGG
rnacentral:rRNA from 1 species